AGAGAAUUGACCGAGUGGUUUAAGGUGAUAAGCUUGAAACUUAUUUGAUCCAAAGGAUCACAUCCGUUCAAAUCGGAUAUUUUCUG
rnacentral:tRNA from 1 species